rnacentral:rRNA from 1 species
UACGAAGGAUCCAAGCGUUAUCCGGAUUCAUUGGGUUUAAAGGGUGCGUAGGCGGCUAAGUAAGUCAGUGGUGAAAUCUCUCGGCUCAACCGAGAAACUGCCAUUGAUACUGCGUAGCUAGAGUACAGAUGAUGUUGGCGGAAUGUGUCAUGUAGCGGUGAAAUGCAUAGAUAUGACACAGAACACCGAUUGCGAAGGCAGCUGACAAAACUGUAACUGACGCUGAUGCACGAAAGUGCGGGGAUCAAACAGG